GUGGGGAAUAUUGGGCAAUGGGCGAAAGCCUGACCCAGCAACGCCGCGUGAAGGAAGAAGGUUUUCGGAUUGUAAACUUCUGUCCUCAGGGAAGAAGGAAGUGACGGUACCUGAGGAGGAAGCCCCGGCUAACUGCGUGCCAGCAGCCGCGGUAAUACGUAGGGGGCGAGCGUUGUCCGGAAUGACUGGGCGUAAAGGGCGCGUAGACGGCUGUCUAAGUCUGGAGUGAAAGUCCUGCUUUCAAGGUGGGAAUUGCUUUGGAGACUGGAUGGCUUGAGUGCGGAAGAGGUAAGUGGAAUUCCCAGUGUAGCGGUGAAAUGCGUAGAGAUUGGGAAGAACACCAGUGGCGAAGGCGACUUACUGGGCCGUAACUGACGUUGAUGCGCGAAAGCGUGGGGAGCGAACAGGAUUAGAUACCCUAGUAGUCC
rnacentral:rRNA from 1 species